GUCAUGCUGCUGUGCUUGGCGGGCAGUCUGAUCUACGUGGAGCCAUAUCGUGAUAACUACGACAUCUCGCAGGAAUCACUAGAAGACUAUUUCGAUGUUAACCCGUACGAGAGGUUCGACUACGACUGGUCGAUUCGGUACGACCUUGUCUCGGGUGACGUCAACCAAGAGGAACCACGCGAAGAAGCCUCAGCUGAGCGGAUAAAUGAGCCUUCUAGAGGGUCGUACGUCGUGCAGCUUCCCGACCGACGCAUCCAGACGGUCACUUAUUACUACGACACCAAACUUGGAUACAUAGCGGAGGUUUCGUACGAAAUUGAACCCGAGAUUAAUAAAAUAUAACGUUGUCCUUGAUUGUACAAGGGGCCCUCACAACUCGUGGGGGCCCUUGGUGCACGCCGGAUUUCCCCCUAAUUCUAUAGCUGGGAAUUUAAAUGCUGCAGAUGCUAUUUUCCUCCUUGAUGUCCUGGGGAAAGCCUUUGGAAGGCCGUGAGAGGGUCAGUCGGUUUCUUCCAUGGCUUUUUAGAACCUCGGGUGCCCUCAGUUACUAGCUCUCGGGAUGCUAGUAAAGGUAAUUAGGCUUAACGAGCCAAAUGCAGCAAUUAUGUUGUCAGGCGAUAAGAUGACGGCGAUAAUUAUACCCCAUUAUAGAGUGUAACAUGAAGUAAGAUUAGCGUAUACCCAUACACACACACGCACGCCAUACAAGCAAUUUAAGCGUUAAAAAAAUUAACACGUAAUCCAUUUACUUCUGAAGUACCGCCACUUUACACCUUUUAUUUCCCGAUCAUAACCAGUAUUUCAGGUUUAUAUUUCAGGUUCUGAUUCAGGAAAUCUUUCCAGUUAUAAGUACUUGAUAAUUUAGCCGGCCUACAUUCACUCAUGCACAGUAGUUCAGUUAAUGAUAGUACAUCUGAAUUAGAAUAGUCUUAGCCUGUGAUAAUGUGUACAGAGUAGAGUAACAUUAGUCUGUGAUAAUCCACGAUGAAAGAUAGAUGAAGAAAUAAGGGCAACGAAUGUGUGAAAGAUUUUGUUCGAAUGAAAGGACCGAAGCCGGUUUCAGAAUGCGUGGAAGCAGCGAGUGUUGUAAUUGUGAAUGAAAGGAAGGGAAGAACAGGAUGAGGCAAUGAUGUUUUUUAAUCAGUAUUCAAAAUGUAAUAUUAGUGAGGUAAACUAUGAUGAAUUAUGUGGAAAGCAUAUAUAUUUUUUCUAGAAGUGAAGCAGUCAGCGCUGAUUUCACUUACAAAGACAUCUCCACACUUAAGCCAAACAAAGCCCUCUAACUGAUGUUAUUUCAAAAGCAAUUCAAAGGGAAUUGCCCUGGAGACACGGCGAUGGAGGGCAGUGAGUGGCGCCGCGGAUCACGCGACACAAGCCUCGGGGCAUCCUCGACAUUCUGAGGGCAUCAUUAAUGCGACUUCAAGCACAGAAAGCACGGAAGGCACACGCGGCCCGUCUCGCCGAACCCUUGAACAAACCUGUUCUAGGAGACGGACGCAGGAGGUCAGACAUGUUAAAAGCAGAAGGAAAAAGAAAUUAUGCUUUCACUUGUGUGUUGUUGUGUUUUUUAUGCAAGUACUUCUGCUUGCUUCUACGCACUCGUCCAGGCGCCGGUUGCAAGAUGUGUAAAGGGCCUUUCUAAGUCAUUUGUGUGGAUAAUAAUGUAAAGUUGUCUUCAUUUAAUGAAUAUACAAGAGUCAUUUACUUCCUACUUUGUUAAAUGUUAUGUCACCUCAUGUCUGUUGGUUUCUCGUAUUUCUUUGUAAAUAAUCAAAUAAAUGGAACAUUUUUAUAAUAAAUGAAAUCAUCCAAAGAUCUA